UAUUAAAAAUUUCAUCCAAUUGUACUUUUAAAAAUUAGCAUGACUAACAAAAUAACCAAACAAUGACACAUAGCAUUUCAUAUGUACUUUAUACUGACAUACAGAGACUCAUUUUUAACAGUACAAAUGAAUAAAAUUUUAACA
rfam:Gossypium raimondii Chr07_contig_1418, whole genome shotgun sequence.